rnacentral:misc_RNA from 1 species
AAUAAAGGCUUACAUAUGAGUUAGGAAGAGAAUUUUAUCAUGUACAUUGGUUGACUGCAUUAGUUUCAUGCAUGACAGGUCUUGCUUUCAUGUUUAAAAGAAUAGGUUAGCCUAAAAAAUGUGAGUUAGGAAGAGAAUUUUCCUUUGAAAUCUGUGUAUUAUAUAUGUUGAGAAUAUCCAUUGAAAUAAUAUGGAGAUCACAAUGGGUUGCUAAAAAAAUUUCUCAUUUUAGGUUACGUUUGCGAUAACGGG